ACCAUUUCCGGGGUAAUUUGGCACGAAAACCCUUUAAUAUUAGAGAUAUAUUUUAUGCUGUCGCCAAACAUAAAAAUCAGACGCAUGAAACGAUUUACAUAAAAAUCAGAUAUUUACUCAAAGAUCAGAAAGCUAGAGAUCGGCCGCAUUAUAUUACACCUUUUCUGAGCUUUACAUCGCACCGCGUCCAAUAAAAGAAUUAUAUUCUUCGGAAACAUUGCAUUCCCAACGAUCCCGGCAAACGCAUCGACGCGUCCCAACGUUAUCGUCGCUAGACGGUUUACGUCGUUUUCUUAGUUUUCUUCACAAAGUUGAAUCAGUAGCUCGUCUAGAAAUGAACAAUGAAGUUGAACCAGGGGCAGCCCCUAAUAGUCUUCCCAUUUCCUUAAACACCCCAGUGGCGUCUGGCGACGGGUCAAUCGUGUUCGAGGCAUCCACUCAAACACCAACGUCCGAAGUCCUGGAUGAGCCGAUUUUCACCAAUAAAGCCUGCAGCCUAAAGAAAUCUGGUCACAGCGUGUCUGCUUUAGAGAAUAUUCAUCGAAUGAGACACCAUGGACAGGUAAAAAAUAUUAAGUCUUUAAGUGUGCAAUAGCAGAAGAAUUUUAGAAGAGAAGAAUUU